UGGGGAAUCUUGGACAAUGGGGGCAACCCUGAUCCAGCCAUGCCGCGUGAGUGAUGAAGGCCUUAGGGUCGUAAAGCUCUUUCGCCUGUGAAGAUAAUGACGGUAGCAGGUAAAGAAACCCCGGCUAACUCCGUGCCAGCAGCCGCGGUAAUACGGAGGGGGUUAGCGUUGUUCGGAAUUACUGGGCGUAAAGCGCACGUAGGCGGACCAGAAAGUUGGGGGUGAAAUCCCGGGGGCUCAACCCCGGAACUGCCUCCAAAACUAUUGGUCUAGAGUUCGAGAGAGGUGAGUGGAAUUCCAAGUGUAGAGGUGAAAUUCGUAGAUAUUUGGAGGAACACCAGUGGCGAAGGCGGCUCACUGGCUCGAUACUGACGCUGAGGUGCGAAAGUGUGGGGAGCAAACAGGAUUAGAUACCCUGGUAGUCCACACCGUAAAACGAUGAAUGCCAGUCGUCGGGUAGCAUGCUAUUCGGUGACACACCUAACGGAUUAAGCAUUCCGCCUGGGGGAG
rnacentral:rRNA from 1 species